rnacentral:rRNA from 1 species
AGUGAACGCUGGCGGUAGGCCUAACACAUGCAAGUCGAACGGCAGCACAGUAAGAGCUUGCUCUUACGGGUGGCGAGUGGCGGACGGGUGAGGAAUACAUCGGAAUCUACUUUUUCGUGGGGGAUAACGUAGGGAAACUUACGCUAAUACCGCAUACGACCUACGGGUGAAAGCAGUGGAUCUUCGGACCUUGCGCGAUUGAAUGAGCCGAUGUCGGAUUAGCUAGUUGGCGGGGUAAAGGCCCACCAAGGCGACGAUCCGUAGCUGGUCUGAGAGGAUGGUCAGCGACGCUGGAACUGAGACACGGUCCAGACUACUACGGGAGGGAGCAGUGGGGAAUAUUGGACAAUGGGCGCAAGCCUGAUCCAGCCAUACCGCGUGGGUGAAGAAGGCCUUCGGGUUGUAAAGCCCUUUUGUUGGGAAAGAAAAGCAGCAGGUUAAUACCCCGCUGUUCUGACGGUACCCAAAGAAUAAGCACCGGCUAACUUCGUG